rnacentral:rRNA from 1 species
AGGGUUUGAUCCUGGCUCAGAUUGAACGCUGGCGGUAGGCUUAACACAUGCAAGUCGAGCGAGAAAGUAUCUUCGGAUAUGAGUAGAGCGGCGGACGGGUGAGUAACGCGUAGGAAUCUACCUAGUAGAAGGGGAUAGCCCGGGGAAACUCGGAUUAAUACCGUAUACCUCCUAAGGGAGAAAGAGGGCCUCUCUUGAUGCUCUCGCUAUUAGAUGAGCCUGCGUAAGAUUAGCUUGUUGGUAAGGUAAUGGCUUACCAAGGCUACGAUCUUUAGCUGGUCUGAGAGGACGAUCAGCCACAUUGGGACUGAGACACGGCCCAGACUCCUACGGGAGGCAGCAGUGGGGAAUAUUGGACAAUGGGCGCAAGCCUGAUCCAGCCAUACCGCGUGUGUGAAGAAGGCCUUCGGGUUGUAAAGCACUUUAAGCAGGGAGAAAAAGUUAUAAGUUAAUACCUUAUAACCGUGAUGUUACCUGCAGAAUAAGCACCGGCUAAUUCCGUGCCAGCAGCCGCGGUAAUACGGAAGGUGCAAGCGUUAAUCGGAAUUACUGGGCGUAAAGCGCGCGUAGGUGGUUUGUUAAGUUGGAUGUGAAAGCCCUGGGCUCAACCUAGGAACUGCAUCCAAAACUAACUCACUAGAGUACGAUAGAGGGAGGUAGAAUUCAUAGUGUAGCGGUGGAAUGCGUAGAUAUUAUGAAGAAUACCAGUGGCGAAGGCGGCCUCCUGGAUCUGUACUGACACUGAGGUGCGAAAGCGUGGGUAGCGAACAGGAUUAGAUACCCUGGUAGUCCACGCCGUAAACGAUGACAACUAGCUGUUGGGAGACAAUGUCUUUCAGUGGCGCAGCUAACGUUUUAAGUUGUCCGCCUGGGGAGUA